rnacentral:rRNA from 1 species
UACAGAGGUCUCAAGCGUUGUUCGGAUUGCAUUGGGCGUAAAGGGUGCGUUAGGUGGCGGGGCAAGUCAAUGGUGUGAAAUCUCGGAGCUAACUCCGAAAUGCACUUGAUACUGCCUUGCUGGAGUACUGGAGAGGAGAUUGGAAUUUACGGUGUAGCAAGUGAAAUGCGUAGAUAUCGUAAGGAAGACCAGUGGCGAAGGCGAAUCUCUGGACAGUUACUGACACUGAGCACGAAGGCCAGGGGAGACAAACGGG